UACACACCGCCCGUCACACCAUGGGAGUUAGUUGCUCCAGAAACGGCUGCGCUAACCCGCAAGGGAGGCAGGUCUUUAAGGAGUGACUGGUAACUGGGGUG
rnacentral:rRNA from 1 species